GGCACUAUGGCCGAGUGGUUAAGGCGAGAGACUCGAAUUAUUUAAUGUUUUCGGCUAUCUCUUGGGCUCUGCCCGCGCUGGUUCAAAUCCUGCUGGUGUCG
rnacentral:tRNA from 1 species